GCGAUUCUCCUGCCUCAGCCUCCCAAGUAGCCAGGAUUACAGGAACACUUGUGUCAGGUUUCUAUUUCAGUAACCAUAAUCACUAAUAACUAAGGGAACACAAAAGUCCAUCAAUGAGAAGUCAUCUCUUAACUGUGGAAGGCCAGCAGUUAAUAUACUGGACCACAAAAUGAAAUCAAGUGAUGCAAGUUCUUCCCUCAAUCUAAGAACCUGCAGAAUACCAAGACAAGUGUUUCAAGAAUCAUCCAGAAAGGUCAGUUUUAAACUAUAUGUUUAAAGCAGAAACAUUACUUGGCAUGGGGCUUUCUAGGUAAAAAAGGAAGACAUAAUAUAAUUGGCUUAGAUCCUAAGAGUUUUUCUUCUCUUUAUUUGCAAGAUAAGUUGAUUAACUUCAAUUAUUAAUAGCCAAAACUUGUGCCUCCUAAUUAGAUCUAUACUCUAGUGAGAUAUAAUCUCAUAAUUAAGCACCCAAAGUUUUUGUUGUUAAAAAAAAUUAUCAGCCAAUAAUAAAACUUUUAAUGACUGUAGCAAGUUGACACUUUCUGGUUUUCUAUCCAACUAUGCAGUAUAGUCUUGUUUUUGGUACCACCAUUGUAAUUUACUGAGGAAUAAACAAGACAAGACAGAGAAGCACACAGCGCUUGCUAGAUACUCUUAAAGUAUAUGAUACUUAAAAUAGCAUCCUUUCCUGGAUAUGAAGUUUUAUUCACAUUUGAAAAUAUAUUCUUAAGUUCUAAACUCUUCACUUUAAAAAGUGAGGGUAAGUAGAAUUAUUUUCAUUUUCCUUGAAAUAAUUUGAUCACAUCUAAGACAACAAAAAGAACCUAUUUAAAAAUACUGUUUUAAUAAGGUGACAGGUGAUGGUCCUCUGGCCAGGUAUUUAUUUAGAAACCACCACUUACAAGUCAAACUGGUAUUCCAAAGGGAGUAGUUAAAAACAAAAACAAGAAACAUACAACUAAUACAAUUUCUCUUACUCUUCACUUUUCUUUUUAUUAUUCAAAAGUCAAAUGUUUUUAAAUCAUCCAUCCUCAAUUUUGAUUUAAUGUACCGUCAUUUCCCCAAGAAAAGAAAUUUCAGAAUCUCUUUGGAAUACUAAUUUCAUGUUUCUAGAUUUAACAAAACUGUUGAAGUUUUAAAUUCCAUUCUAUUUCCCUGAAUUCUCAAGACAGUUGCUGAUGUAAAUUUUAAUAUAAAAUAUUUAGUCACAAAAUAGUAUUGCUUUUGUAUGCACAUAGUUGUAAGAUUACUUUGCUUUUGUCAAUAAAAACUAUACCAUCUUUCAUAAAACUCUAAACAAAUUAAGAACUGUGAUGUAGAACAAAAAUUACACAUGGUAAAACAGGUACCAGCACAACGUUAGGUUAUAUUACAUCAAAAAAAGUUUUAAUGGUCCCAAAUAUAUAUACUCAACAACUAAGCAUACACUCAGGGGAGGAAAAAAAAAAUCAAAAACAAAAUAAAACAAAAAAAUUAUGACACAAAUGACCACAUCUAGAAUUCCACUCAAUCUUUAAUCAAGUAGGGAGAAGUCCCCACUUAAAAAAAAAAA
rnacentral:lncRNA from 1 species